GAUGAACGCUAGCUACAGGCUUAACACAUGCAAGUCGAGGGGAAACGAUAUUGGAAGCUUGCUUCUGAUAGGCGUCGACCGGCGCACGGGUGAGUAACGCGUAUCCAACCUGCCCAUCACUUGGGGAUAACCUUGCGAAAGUAAGACUAAUACCCAAUGACGUCUCUAGAAGACAUCUGAAAGAGAUUAAAGAUUUAUCGGUGAUGGAUGGGGAUGCGUCUGAUUAGCUUGUUGGCGGGGUAACGGCCCACCAAGGCGACGAUCAGUAGGGGUUCUGAGAGGGUGAACGGCCACAUUGGGACUGAGACACGGCCCAAACUCCUACGGGAGGCAGCAGUGGGGAAUAUUGCACAAUGGGGGGAAAACCCUGAUGCAGCGACGCCGCGUGAGUGAUGAAGUAUUUCGGUAUGUAAAACUCUAUCAGCAGGGAAGAUAAUGACGGUACCUGACUAAGAAGCACCGGCUAACUACGUGCCAGCAGCCGCGGU
rnacentral:rRNA from 1 species